rnacentral:lncRNA from 1 species
UAAAAUGAGUGUCUCUUCUAUCUCAAAAUUUGAUUCUAUGAAGAGUAGGGACUGAACCUGUGAUUUCAUUGCUGUCUCAAAGUCUGAGAUGCAAGCGUGCUUCUACCAGUACAGGUUGGUGUCUUUGCAAGUUUAUAGCCUUGAAAAGUUUCUAACAGCACUUAAUGGGUAAGUAACUUGCCCGUGGUCACCCAACUAUUAUGUGUCAGAGGCAAAUCUUGACCCCGGGUCUUCCUGGCUCCAAUGCCAGCUCUCUGCCCAUUAAACCUAUAUAGAUACAGGGCAAAACUGUCAUGCAGCCAAGCUAUGUGAGUCUUGGAGCCCAAUGACCUCAGGGUAGAAGAAGGAUCAAAAUACUCAAUCACUCGAACUCCCAAUGGGAUGGCAAGAGCCUGAUGGCAUGAUACAGCGCAGAUAGAUACAGAACGUUCCGCCACUUCCAAAACACGAAUAGAAAGUACCAAGUUUAUACCUACAGAGAAGGAUCGAUUCUGCUUGGGACGGGAUGCGUUUGGUCGAAGAUCAGAUGGUAACAUAGUAGAAGCCUGUGACUGCUGAAUGGGACAGGCAUGACUCUUCCCCAAAUGAGCUCUCCUUCUCCUCUUCAGUCUUCCAUGCUUGCAAAGGACAACUGGAGGUGCACUGGUGAACAGAACCAAAGUGUCUUCUUACUAUCCCCCUUAUACAGUCCUGCAUAUUCAACUCCUAAACCUGAAAACAGAAUCAACAAAGGGAGGACAAUUUGUGUAUGGAUAUUGCUAUUUCCCAGCCUGCCUGCCUGUCUGACUCCUUUUCCCACUGGAUACUCAGUUAUAAAGGGAAAGCUGAACUUUUCUUCGUGGCCUAUGGAUGCUGCUUGGAAAAACGACUAAGGGCCACCAGCUCCCUAUCUGCAAAUAUUCUGAGGGGGGAAAAGCAAUGAAAGGAGUCUCGCCUGACAGAUUUCAGGAAUACAAGGUGAAAUGCAAAUGACAAGCAGAAUUUGAGAUCAGUUCUAAUGACUACUGUAGACCAUCAAUCAGUUAAUAAACAUUUAUUAAAUGCUGCUAUGUGCCA